GACGAACGCUGGCGGCGUGCUUAACACAUGCAAGUCGAACGGUAAGGCCCUUCGGGGUACACGAGUGGCGAACGGGUGAGUAACACGUGGGUGAUCUGCCCUGCACUUCGGGAUAAGCCUGGGAAACUGGGUCUAAUACCGGAUAGGACUCCGGACUGCAUGGUCUGGGGUGGAAAGCUUUUGCGGUGGGGGAUGGGCCCGCGGCCUAUCAGCUUGUUGGUGGGGUGAUGGCCUACCAAGGCGACGGCGGGUAGCCGGCCGGAGAGGGUGACCGGCCACACUGGGACUGCGAUACGGACCAGACUCCUACGGGAGGCAGCAGUGGGGAAUAUUGCACAAUGGGCGCGAGCCUGAUGCAGCGACGCCGCGUGAGGGAUGACGGCCUUCGGGUUGUAAACCUCUUUCAGCACCGACGAAGCGCAAGUGACGGUAGGUGCAGAAGAAGGACCGGCCAACUACGUGCCAGCAGCCGCCGUAA
rnacentral:rRNA from 1 species